GCAAUACACCAUACACCUUACUAACGUACACUUGUUACUGAUUAUUAAAUAAAAUUCCUCUAAUCAACCCAUAAUUACAUAAAAGAUAAAUCAAUAAUUUUCAUUUUAUCUGUUUCUGUUUUAUAUAGUAUUUUCUUGUAUCAAUGAUAAAUAAUGUCUUCCAAUAAUGAUACAGUAUCUAUUAAAAAAAUUAGUAGUUAUAACAGUACGUAAUAGAUUUAAUUUUCUUUAUUCUAUUUAAAUAUACUCAAUAAUAUAGAUUUAUUGUGUAUUACACAAAAUAUAUUCAAUAACAUAGAUUAACAAAAUAUGGUCUGAAAUCUAUUAGAUGUAUAUUUUCUUAAGUCGCCUGGAUAAGAGAAUUAUGUACGCUAUUAGACCUAUUGAUGAUCUAAAUUCUAAAUCAAUGCUACAUCGAUAUUUUUUUUUAUUGAAAAAGUAAAAAUUAGAUGUGAAUAUCGAUAAAGAUAUUAUUCUUUACCAAAGUUGAUUUAUUCAAGAAUGUUAGAAUUAAAUACAAGAGCAACUAAUUGCUUAUUAAUUGAGAUAGGUUGAUGGCAGAGUUUGAGUAUCAAUACAUUAUUAAUAACUCUAAUUCUAGAGUGAAAAAAUAAAUAAAAGUUUAAAUCUUCCACUGUUAUUUCAAUACUAAAUUAUACCAAUAAAAAUUUUUAAUUAUUUGUGGAAAUAAAUACAGCAAAAUAAAUACAAGUUUAAAUCUUCCACUGCUAUUUCAAUACUAAAUUGAACGAAAAAAAAUUGAAUUAUUUGUGGAACUACAGUAUCGCAUUAUUAUUUGGAAUUAUUCUAUUACAUAUUUAUCGCAUUAUUAUGUGGAAUUAUUCUAUUACAUAUUUUUAUUAUAGCAAUAAAUAAAUAGUGUUCGGACACCUUGAAUCUUUCUCUAAUAAUAGGAUUUCUCACUGCAGUUUACAGUAUUUCCAUUUCAUGUUUUCAAUAGUUUGUUGAAUGUUAUCAGUUAACUUAGUUGUAAAAAGGGAACGUGGGUGUUUCAGUGCGGAAGUACAAAUUUUUUCUUCCUUUGAUAAGAGAGCAUUCCACUUGCGGGUAGAUUUGACACUUUCCCCAGUACAAAAAAUACAUUUUGGAAGGAUUUAUAAUCGAGACUUGUUGAAGUGAACAGUGUUUGGUCACUCUGCAAUAUUUUUCCAUCACAUCCCGAUCGCCAUUGAAAAUCGUAAUCGUCAUAGAGAAAAGACCCAAGGUACCUGGCAACCUCCACAUCAAUUUUCGCCAGUUUGUAAUUCGAGAUCAUUGCGGAAGUUUCCUUUUCGGACACCUGCCCGUCUUCAAUAAAAUUAGUGAAAUGGAAAUGUUCUUUAUGAGAAUGUUAUUAUACCGAAUUAUCCAUGAGAAAUAUUACUAUUUUAUUAUCGUUUUAUUGUAUUAUUUUAUUCUUUUAUUAAUUUAUAAUUUUAUUAUUUUGUUAUACAAUUAUUCCAUUAUUUUAUUACUUUAUUAUUUUAAUAUUUCAUUAUUAUAUUUAUUAUGAUUCUAUUAUAAUUAUUCUUAUCUUAUUCUAAGAGUUCUCUUGUCACAUGAAUGAUAAAGGAGCACGAUAAGAUUUAAUCCUGCCACUAUAAUCAUUAUUUUCAACAAUCUAACAAUUUAUUUUGCAUAUCCAAGAGGGACUUCUAGAAUUAAGGCAGUCAUUAGAAGACACUUCUGCAGCAAAGCUGAGCUCUUUCAUUGUUCCAUCUUACAAUCUAUCAUUGAUAAUGCAACUAGUAGUGAGUAAAUUACAAACACUGGGUUAUGAUUGUUAACCAUUACUGAUAGGGAUUGAAUUUGAGUAUUAUCAUAUUGUAACCGUACACGCUGCCUCGACUAUCAAUGGAAUCUGCCUAUUCCGUGGCAUUGCUCUCAACUUAGCUAACCGUUACUUCACUCUUUACUCUAUGAAAUCCCUUCCUUUCCUUGACACAAAAAGCAAUCAACACAUUGUGACAAAAUUGGAAAAAACUGAUUGUUUCUAAUGUACAGCCACAUAUAUAUGUAACUAUGUCUCACAGUGAUGUUAGUAAGUGGAGCAGUUCAUAGACUGUGCUUUCGUGUGACUAAGCUUUGUUUUUACAUUCGAACAACAGUGUUCAUAAAAAACAGACGUGUAUUUCAAAUGUUACACAUGUGAAGAGCAAUUUGGACGAAAAUAUUGUGACAAAUACAAACUUGUAGGCUACUUGAAUCAUGUGACAAUACUUCCAUUUAUGUGAGAAGGACUUGGUCACCUACAUCGUCUCGAGGAAUCUAUAGCAUUGUAUCGUCUUGUCAUCAUUAUCGCAGGUAUUGAACACUAAUUUGCUUGUACUGUGAGUGUCUUUUAAUAAAGUGACGUUGAUCCACUCUUCCCCUUGCGCGCUACGCUUACUCUCUUCCGGGAGAGCGAUGUAUGAUAACUCUGUAACUUCACUUUGUUUCACCAUAUUUCUGGUGCGGCUUGGAGUAACUGUCGAGUGAAUAGGACGCAUUUGUGGAUCACCUCUCGUUCUCUCCACUCUGUCCCUCCAAGCCGCACCAAGGGUUCCAGUAUCUUCUUGAGGAAACUGUAGCAUCUUAGAGUGUCAAGAUGUUAACAGGUGAUAAACACGAACUUUUAUUUGAAUCGGUGCCUCCUCUUUUCCUUCUCACUUCAAAACCAUGUGAGGUCCAGCCAUUUUAGACCUAUAACAGCCUCCUCUAUUCCUAUUCCACGAAAACCCGAAAGAAUAUCUAACCUUAAAAUGCCCAUAAAAGGCCCAUAGUGAAGUUAUUGACAGUAAAGUUUUACAAUUCUGUAGUCUAUUGAAUAAUUGGAAACGAUGGAAAAAAUUAUUCCUCGAGAGAUUUUUUUCUGACUUCUUAUGGAAAACAACACAACAUGGUAACAUCUUCAUAUUGAAUCUCAUCAUCAUAAUUAUUAAUAAAAAAAAACUUUUUUUUAUAAUUAUUAAUGUCAAGAAAUAUAGUCUAGGAGUUGCCUUUGUCUAUCAUUUCGUUGAAAUUUUGACUGAUGAUAAAAAUAUUGUUUUAUAACAUUCAAUUAGUUUUCAAUUCAAUUCAAAUCUUCUAUAAGUCUUCAAGACCGUGCUCUAUAACUCACAUUGAGUUCCACUGUCUAACAAGCACAGAAAAAUCAUAAAUAUAAACUAAGUCAGAGUUUACAAUACAGUGCAAUCAAUUACAUGUAAUUAAUACUAUAUUACAAUUUAUGGCUUAAUACUGUAUACCGUAUAUAAUAUUCAUUCAUCCUUGAGCUAAUGUAAUGUUCUACUUCUUCAAUGGUAUAGCCUACUACUUAAUGUUAUUAUUUAUGCUAAUAUUACAAAACACAUUGAAAUUAUUGGAAGAGGAAGGCAAAUAUUGAGCGAUUUAUUUCCCAAAUUUCAUUCUAAUGUUAUUCUAUUAUAUAUUUUCAUUACAUUAUUGAUUUAAAAUUGAAACUUAUUCAACUGCAUAGUAUUUGUAAUCAAUCUACUUGUAACUCAUGAAUCACUAAAAUGAUGACUGCAUAGUUUUAUAAACAUUCUACUUGUAAUUCAUUAAUUACUAAAAUAAAUGAUUGAUUUGAUC
rnacentral:lncRNA from 1 species